GGCGUAAAGGGCGCGUAGGCGGAUUAUCAAGUCUCUUGUGAAAUCUAAUGGCUUAACCAUUAAACUGCUUGGGAAACUGAUAGUCUAGAGUGAGGGAGAGGCAGAUGGAAUUGGUGGUGUAGGGGUAAAAUCCGUAGAUAUCACCAAGAAUACCCAUUGCGAAGGCGAUCUGCUGGAACUCAACUGACGCUAAGGCGCGAAAGCGUGGGGAGCAAACAGGAUUAGAUACCCUGGUAGUCCACGCCCUAAACGAUGUACACUAGUUGUUGGGGUGCUAGUCAUCUCAGUAAUGCAGCUAACGCAUUAAGUGUACCGCCUGGGGAGUACGGUCGCAAGAUUAAAACUCAAAGGAAUAGACGGGGACCCGCACAAGCGGUGGAGCAUGUGGUUUAAUUCGAAGAUACGCGAAGAACCUUACCUGGGCUUGAUAUCCUAAGAACCUUUUAGAGAUAAGAGGGUGCUAGCUUGCUAGAACUUAGAGACAGGUGCUGCACGGCUGUCGUCAGCUCGUGUCGUGAGAUGUUGGGUUAAGUCCCGCAACGAGCGCAACCCACGUAUUUAGUUGCUAACGGUUCGGCCGAGCACUCUAAAUAGACUGCCUUCGUAAGGAGGAGGAAGGUGUGGACGACGUCAAGUCAUCAUGGCCCUUAUGCCCAGGGCGACACACGUGCUACAAUGGCAUAUACAAUGAGACGCAAUACCGCGAGGUGGAGCAAAUCUAUAAAAUAUGUCCCAGUUCGGAUUGUUCUCUGCAACUCGAGAGCAUGAAGCCGGAAUCGCUAGUAAUCGUAGAUCAGCCAUGCUACGGUGAAUACGUUCCCGGGUCUUGUACUCACCGCCCGUCACACCAUGGGAGUUGAUUUCACUCGAAGCCGGAAUACUAAACUAGUUACCGUCCACAGUGGAAUCAGCGACUGGGGUGAAGUCGUAACAAGGUAACCGUAGGAGAACCUGCGGUUGGAUCACCUCCUUU
rnacentral:rRNA from 1 species